GGGGGUGUAAUGGUUUCGACGGGGGAUUUGAUGGCAGUGGCAGCGAGUCGGGAUCCCACUAGCCCGUAAAACGGUGGACAACUAAUAACUGCCAACGAAAAUUACGCAUUAGCUGCCUAGAGCAGCUACGUCCUGCCUGGGUUUGCCUGUGAUCUGGGACCAGGGCGUCAUUUAGCAGGCUAGCCAGCGGCCAAUUCUCGGAGGCCGGACGGCGAAGUCUAUCGAGAUAGCUCCAGCGCAGCCCGUCUGCGGGCGGCGUAUCAGCCUUCGGCUGAAGGAGGCUUUCGGCCAACGCGCCGCGAGGCCAAGUGGAGCGAAGAACAAUACGCAGACUGCACUCGGAGAAGCUGCUGUGGUCAGUCUUUCGGACAGGGGUUCGACUCCCCUCACCUCCACCA
rnacentral:tmRNA from 1 species